AGGGCUUAGCUGUCUCCCCUUUAAAGUCAAUGAAAUUGAUCUCCCCGUGCAGAAGCGGGGAUAUGCUCGUAAGACGAGAAGACCCUAUGAAGCUUAAGAUACAAAGCGACCCAUGUCAAACACCCCCUUAAAGGAAAUGAACGAAAUGAACUCCGCUGGAAUAUCUUCGGUUGGGGCGACCGCGGGGAAAGACAAAACCCCCACAUGGACUAGGGCUACUACAGCCCUAAAACCUAGACCCACAGGUCAAAUCAACAGUACUUCUGACCACCAAAGAGCCGGCAAUGCCGAUCGACGGACCGAGUUACUCUAGGGAUAACAGCGCAAUCCCCUCCCAGAGCCCUUAUCGACGAGGGGGUUUACGACCUCGAUGUUGGAUCAGGACAUCCUAAUGGUGCAGCCGCUAUUCAGGGUUCGUUUGUUCAACGAUUAAUAGUCCUACGUGAU
rnacentral:rRNA from 1 species